rnacentral:rRNA from 1 species
GACGAACCGUGCGAACGUUGUUCGGAAUCACUGGGCUUAAAGGGCGCGUAGGCGGACCACCAAGUCCGGGGUGAAAUCCUCCGGCUUAACCGGAGAAUUGCCUGGGAUACUGGUGGUCUUGAAUAUGGUGGAGGUAAGCGGAAUAUGUCAUGUAGCGGUGAAAUGCUUAGAGAUGACAUAGAACACCUAUUGCGAAGGCAGCUUACUACGCCUAUAUUGACGCUGAGGCACGAAAGCGUGGGGAUCAAACAGG